AGUGCACAGUGGAGAGAGUGAGCUACCCAGAGUGGAGGUCAUGAGUUGGAAACUGGACAACUGUGAUUACUAUAGCCCAGACUGAGCCUAUAUACUUGUUGAACCACAGGAAAGGAAAAAUGGAAACCAGCCCCGCACUGCCUACAGGGAUGGGGAAGAUGUGCAAAGCCAGCUGGGCAGAAUUAACAACCAGCAAGUGGUUUUUAUUUUUUUCAAGAAUAGGGCAGUAAGACCUGGAGCUGAAAAAGCUCAGAAGGUGAACACCAACAGAUCACCUAGGUGUUCCAGCUGGGCACAGGGAGAACUGAGUUCUGCUCCCACCUACCUCACCAUCUUCUUCUGAUCCCUAAAUUCUGGGACAUGCCAUCCUGUUCUUCCCUGGACAAAGAAUGAAGAUCUCCUUCUGAGGCUUCACACUGAGUCUUCUGCAGACUAAAGAAGCUCAGGGCAGGCUGGAAAGGUGACCACCGGCUCCCAGUCUCCUAGGAACAACCAUGCCACACAGCUCUGGCUUGUGAGAUGAUGGCUGAAAUCCAC